AACGUAGGAGGCAAGCGUUAUCCGGAGUUACUGGGCGUAAAGAGCGUGUAGGCGGUCGAGUAAGCUGCGUGUGAAAGCGCCCGGCUAAACUGGGCGAGGACAGGCAAGACUGCUGGGCUAGAGGCCGAUAGAGGGGUGCGGAAUUCCGGGUGUAGCGGUGAAAUGUGUAGAGUUCCGGAGGAACACCAGUGGUGCAGACGGCGCCCUGGAUCGGACCUGACGCUGAGACGCGAAAGCGUGGGGAGCGAACGGG
rnacentral:rRNA from 1 species